AAGGCCAUGGAACCUUCCCCAGGGGUAUUCAAAUAAAUUACCUGGCCCUUUGUUGCCUCUCUUUGCCUGCUUAUUUCAGCUAGAAUUUAUCUUACAUUUGGUGCUGAAACUCCGGGAAGGAGUGUGAGUGUGGAGCCCCGAAUGGCCACCAGCGGCCCCGCCCCCUCCUUCCCUAACCCAGGAUCUCAGCCUGCUCUCUGCUGCGUGGACUAUUUUCUGAGUUCCCAGCAGCCUCACCAGGUGAGUAAAGAAGGCCAUUUCCUGGCAGAUGCAGGAACCUCAAGAAUGUGUUGGAAACCUCAAGAAGAAAAUUCACCCAAAUCUACAGAAUAAGUGACUUCUGAAAGGGAUGUGGUGGACACCUCGGAACCACAUG